rnacentral:rRNA from 1 species
GUAAGCAUAUCAAUAAGCGGAGGAAAAGAAACCAACAGGGAUUGCCUCAGUAACGGCGAGUGAAGCGGCAACAGCUCAAAUUUGAAAUCUGGCCUCUUUGGGGUCCGAGUUGUAAUUUGUAGAGGAUGUUUCGGGUACCGCCUCGGUUUAAAUUUCUUGGAACAGAAUGUCAAAGAGGGUGAGAAUCCCGUCUUGGACCGGCGGUAGGGCCCAUGUGAAACUCCUUCGACGAGUCGAGUUGUUUGGGAAUGCAGCUCAAAAUGGGUGGUAAAUUUCAUCUAAAGCUAAAUAUUGGCCAGAGACCGAUAGCGCACAAGUAGAGUGAUCGAAAGAUGAAAAGCACUUUGAAAAGAGAGUUAAACAGUAUGUGAAAUUGUUGAAAGGGAAGCGCUUACAACCAGACUUGCGCGCGGCGGUUCCCCCUUCCUUUUGGUUGGGCUACUCCGUCGUGUCCAGGCCAACAUCGGUUCUGGGGGUCGGUUAAAGACCCUGGGAAUGUAUCUACCCUUCGGGCGUAGACUUAUAGCUCAGGGUGUCAUGCGACCUCCCGGGACCGAGGAACGCGCUUCGGCUCGGAUGUUGGCGUAAUGGUUGUCAGCGACCCGUCUUGAAACACGGACCAAGGAGUCUAACAUCUAUGCGAGUGUUUGGGUGUCAAACCCGGAACGCGAAAUGAAAGUGAACGGAGGUAGGAAGCCAUGAGGCUGCACUAUCGACCGAUCCUGAUGUCUUCGGAUGGAUUUGAGUAAGAGCAUAGCUGUUGGGACCCGAAAGAUGGUGAACUAUGCCUGAAUAGGGUGAAGCCAGAGGAAACUCUGGUGGAGGCUCGCAGCGGUUCUGACGUGCAAAUCGAUCGUCAAAUUUGGGUAUAGGGGCGAAAGACUAAUCGAACCAUCUGGUAGCUGGUUCCUGCCGAAGUU